rnacentral:rRNA from 1 species
GAUCAUGGCUCAGGAUAAACGCUGGCGGCGUGCUUAACACAUGCAAGUCGAACGGAGUACUUCUCCCGAGACCGAAGAAGCUUGCUUCUGAAGAAUCAAUUGAAGUACUUAGUGGCGAACGGGUGAGUAAUGUACAGGUAAUGUACCUUCGUACUGCGAAUAACAAGCUGAAAAGUUUGCUAAUACGGAAUAGUUUCCUUCGGGGGCAUCCUUAAAGGAAUAAAGAUUUAUCGUGCGGAGAUCAGCCUGUAUCCUAUUAGUUAGUUGGUGGGGUAAUGGCCUACCAAGACGACGAUGGGUAACUGGUCUGAGAGGAUGAGCAGUCACAUUGGAACUGAGAAACGGUCCAAACUCCUACGGGAGGCAGCAGUGAGGAAUUUUGCGCAAUGGGGGAAACCCUGACGCAAGCAACGCCGCGUGAGUGACGACGGCCUUCGGGUUGUAAAGCUCUGUCGUGUGUGACGAGUAGGGACGGUAACACACAAGGAAGCCUCGGCUAACUACGUGCCAGCCGCAGC